rnacentral:rRNA from 1 species
UACGUAGGGGGCAAGCGUUGUCCGGAUUUAUUGGGCGUAAAGAGCGUGUAGGCGGUUUGGUAGGUCCGCUGUGAAAACUCGAGGCUCAACCUCGAGACGCCGGUGGAAACCAUCAGGCUAGAGUCCGGAAGAGGAGAGUGGAAUCCCUGGUGUAGCGGUGAAAUGCGCAGAUAUCAGGAAGAACACCCGUGGCUAAGGCGGCUCUCUAGUACGGUACUGACGCUGAGACGCGAAAGCGUGGGGAGCGAACAGG